GAUGAACGCUGGCGGCGUGCCUAAUACAUGCAAGUCGAGCGAACAGACGAGGCUCUUUCUCCUCUUACGUUGGCGGCGGACGGGUGAUUAACACGUGUCUAACUUACCUAUAAGACUGAGAUCACUUCGCGAACCCUGAUCUCAUACCGGUUCUUAUAUUGAACCUCAUGGUUCUUUAGUGCAAGCCCUUUUUGCUGUCCCUUAUUCAUGUUUCCGCGCCGCAUUAGCUAGUUGGUAAGGUAACGGCUUACCAAGGCAACGAUGCGUAGCCGACCUGAGAGGGUGAUCAGCCACACUGGAACUGAGACACGGUCCAGACUCCUACGGGAGGCAGCAGUAGGGAAUAUUCCGCAAUGGGCGAAAGCUUGACGGAGCAACGCCGCGUGAGUGAUGAAGGUCUUCGGAUCGUAAAACUCUGUUAGUAGGGAAGAACAAAAGUGAAAGUAAAUAUGCACGUCUUGACGGUACCUAAACAGAAAGCCACGGCUAACUACGUG
rnacentral:rRNA from 1 species